rfam:Brassica oleracea var. oleracea cultivar TO1000 chromosome C4, whole genome shotgun sequence
GGAAUAUAAGAAACCGUCUCUUAAUUUUUAACUAAAAAAGCUAAAACCCGGCUCUUAAAUAAGAUAUUUAUGAGCCGAUUUUUAGUUUUUUUUAGUUAAAAAUUAAGAGAUAGUUUCUUAUAUUUC